rnacentral:lncRNA from 1 species
AAAAACAUUGGUCAAAGCUAUGUUUUGAAGGCGGCCGUGUUGUUGUCCUAAAUGACUUAUAGUUUGGACCUAGUGGGAGUACCAGUUUAGUCUUCAAAACAAUGAGGCAGCAAGCGACCGUGUUACUAAAUUUGUACUGGCUUUGUCAUUUUGGUCUUGCCGCUGAAGCAUACCAUCUAUCAGUGCCUCCAUUGAGACAAUGAUGCGGCACGUAAAGGCCAAAAAUUCAGCGUACCAUCUAUCAGUGCCUCCAUUGAGACAAUGAUGCGGCACGUAAAGGCCAAAAAGUGCUGUUCUGAAUCUAAGGCUAGGACCCUGAAUGUUGGUCGUAACUAAUUAGCAAAGCAGUUGCGUGGUUUCAAAAUUUAAAAAAAAUGAGUAGGUUUGUGACCC